rnacentral:rRNA from 1 species
AGAGUUUGAUCAUGGCUCAGGAUGAACGCUGGCUGUGUGCCUAAUACAUGCAUGUCGAGCGAAGCACUUCGGUGCUUAGCGGCGAAUGGGUGAGUAACACGUACUUAACCUACCCCCAAGAUUGGGACAACACCUGGAAACGGGUGCUAAUACCAAAUACGUAUUUUUAUCGCAUGAUAGAAAUAUAAAAGGAGCUUCGGCUUCACUAGGGGAUGGGAGUGCGCUACAUUAGUUAGUUGGUAGGGUAAUGGCCUACCAAGACGAUGAUGUAUAGCGGGGCCGAGAGGCUGAUCCGCCACACUGGGACUGAGAUACGGCCCAGACUCCUACGGGAGGCAGCAGUAGGGAAUUUUCCACAAUGAACGAAAGUUUGAUGGAGCGACACAGCGUGCAGGAUGAAGGUCUUCGGAUCGUAAACUGCUGUUAUAAGAGAAGAAAAACCCUGGUAGGUAAUGACCAGGACUUGACGGUACCUUAUCAGAAAGCGACGGCUAACUAUGUGCCAGCAGCCGCGGUAAU